UACGUAGGGUGCGAGCGUUAAUCGGAAUUACUGGGCGUAAAGCGUGCGCAGGCGGUUGUGUAAGACAGGUGUGAAAUCCCCGGGCUUAACCUGGGAAUGGCAUUUGUGACUGCACGGCUAGAGUGUGUCAGAGGGGGGUAGAAUUCCACGUGUAGCAGUGAAAUGCGUAGAUAUGUGGAGGAAUACCGAUGGCGAAGGCAGCCCCCUGGGAUAACACUGACGCUCAUGCACGAAAGCGUGGGGAGCAAACAGG
rnacentral:rRNA from 1 species